rnacentral:tRNA from 1 species
UCCCUGGUGAUCCAGUGGUCAAGACUCUGCCCUCCCAAGGCAGGGGGCUCGGGUUCAAUCCCUGGUCAGGGAA